UUUGAUCAUGGCUCCAGAUUGAACGCUGGCGGGAUGCUUUACAUGCAAGUCAGGCAGCAGCUGGACUUCAGUCUGGUGGCGAGUGGCGAACGGGUGAAGGUAAUGUAUCGGAACGUGCCCUUACAAUAGCGAAGGGGAUAACUACGCAGAAAGCGUAGCUAAUACCGCAUACCGCCCUUCGGGGGAAAGCGAGGAGGGGACCUUCGGGCCUCGCACUAUUAGAGCGGCCGAUAUCGGAUUGGCUAGUUGUGGUGGGGUAACGGCUCACCAAGGCGAUCCGUAGCUGGUUUAUGAGAGGACGACCAGCCACUGGGACUGAGACACGGCCCAGACUCCUACGGGAGGCAGCAGUGGGGAAUUUUGAGACCAAUGGGGAAACCCUGAUCCAGCCAUCCCGCGUGUGCGAUGAAGGCCUUCGGGUUGUAAGCACUUUUGGCAGGAAAGGAACGGCACGGGAUAAUACCCCGUGCAACUGACAGUACCUGCAGAAUAAACGCAACUAACACAUUACUUGGCAGCCGCGGUAAUACGUAGGGUGCAAAAGCGUUAAUCAGAUUACUGGGCGUAAAGCGUGCGCGGGCGGUUCGGAAAGAAGAUGUGAAAUCCCAGAGCUUAACUGGAACUGCAUUUUUUUAACUACCGAGCUAGAGUGUGUCAGAGGAGGUGGAAUUCCGCCGUGUAGCGGUGAAAUGCGUGAAUAUGCGGAGGAACUGCCGAUGGCGAAGGCAGCCUCACAAGAAUGCUACUGACGCUCAUGCAAAAAGCGUGGGAGCAAACGGAUUAGAUACCUGGUAGUUACCUUUACAACGUCAACUAGCUGUUUGGGGCCUUCGGGCCUUGUAGUGGCGCAAUAACGUGUGAAGUUGACGCCUGGGGUGAUCGCAGGUCAAGCUCAAAGGAAUUGACGAGGUUCUACAAGCGGUGGAUGAUGUGGUUAAUUCGAUGCAACGCCGAAAAACCUUACCUACCGCCCGACAUGUCUGGAAUCCAAGAAGAUUAGGAGUGCUCGCAAAAGAAGACCGGAACGAGAUUGCUGCAUGGCUGUCGUCAGCGCUCGUAGUAAGUAGGAAUAUUCAGUUAGAAUUACGAAGCCGCAACCGCUGUCGUAGAUUCACUACGAAAGAGCCUCCUAUGGCAGACUGCGGUGACAAACCGGAGGAAGGUAGGAUGACGUCAAGUCCUCAUGGCCCAUAUGGGUGAGCUGCAUCAUGCAAUGGUCAGGACAGAGGGUCAUAACCCACCGAAGGCAAUCCCGAAACUGAUCGUAGUCCGGAUCGCAGUCUGCAACUCGACUGCGUGAAGUCAGAAUCGCUGUCGCGAGGAUCAGCUGUCGCGGUGAAUACGUUCCGGGUCGGCAUACACACCGCCCAUCACACCAUGGGUGGGUUUACCAAGAAAUGAAUUGGCCUAACCGUAAGGAGGGCGAUUACCACGGUAGGAUUCAUGACUGGGGUGAAGUCCGUAACAAAGAUGCAG
rnacentral:rRNA from 1 species